GAUGAACGCUAGCUACAGGCUUAACACAUGCAAGUCGAGGGACCGGCGCACGGGUGUGUAACAUGUAUCCCACCUGCCCUUUACUCGGGGAUAGCCUUUCGAAAGCAAGAUUAAUACCCGAUAUUAAUGAUGGGGAUGCGUUCCAUUAGGUUGUGGGUGAGGUAACGGCUCACCAAGACUUCGAUGGAUAGGGGUUGUGAGAGGAAGCUCCCCCACAGUGGAACUGAGACACGGUCCAAACUCGUACGAGAGGCAGCAGUGAGGAAUAUUGGGAAAUGGGUGCGAGCCUGAAACAUCCAAGUAGUGUUAAGGAUGAAGGCUUAUGGGUCGUAAACUUCUUUUAUAUAAGAAUAUGUAUUAUAUGAAUAAGGAACGGCUAACUACGUGCCAGCAGCCGCGGUAAUAC
rnacentral:rRNA from 1 species